rnacentral:rRNA from 1 species
UACAGAGGUCCCAAGCGUUGUUCGGAUUCAUUGGGCGUAAAGGGUGCGUAGGUGGCGCCGUAAGUGGGGUGUGAAAUUUCGGAGCUUAACUCCGAAACUGCAUUCCAUACUGCGGUGCUUGAGGACUGGAGAGGAGACUGGAAUUCAUGGUGUAGCAGUGAAAUGCGUAGAGAUCAUGAGGAAGACCAGUGGCGAAGGCGGGUCUCUGGACAGUUACUGACACUGAGGCACGAAGGCCAGGGGAGCAAACGGG